rnacentral:rRNA from 1 species
CCUACGGGAGGCAGCAGUGGGGAAUUUUGGACAAUGGGCGAAAGCCUGAUCCAGCAAUGCCGGGUGAGUGAUGAAGGCCUUAGGGUUGUAAAGCUCUUUUACCCGAGAUGAUAAUGACAGUAUCGGGAGAAUAAGCUCCGGCUAACUCCGUGCCAGCAGCCGCGGUAAU